rnacentral:rRNA from 1 species
CCUACGGGUGGCAGCAGUAGGGAAUUUUGCGCAAUGGGGGAAACCCUGACGCAGCAACGCCGCGUGAUCGAUGAAGCCCUUCGGGGUGUAAAGAUCUGUCAGUGGGGACGAAACCUGACGGUACCCACAGAGGAAGCACCGGCUAACGCCGUGCCAGCAGCCGCGGUUAUACGGCGGGUGCAAGCGUUGUCCGGAAUCAUUGGGCGGAAAGAGUGCGUAGGUGGAACGUUAAGUCUGGUGUUAAAGGCGGAAGGUAAACUUACGUAGGGCACUGGACACUGGCGAGUUUGAAUGCGGUAGAGGUAAAGGGAAUUCCUGGUGUAGCGGUGAAAUGCGUAGAUAUCAGGAGGAACAUCGGUGGCGUAAGCGCUUUACUGGGCCGUAAUUGACACUGAGGAACGAAAGCCGGGGUAGCAAAUGGGAUUAGAUACCCGAGUAGUC